rnacentral:rRNA from 1 species
CCUACGGGAGGCAGCAGUAGGGAAUAUUCCACAAUGGGCGAAAGCCUGAUGGAGCAACGCCGCGUGCAGGAUUAAGGCCUUCGGGUUGUAAACUGCUUUUAUAUGUGAAGAAUAUGACGGUAGCAUAUGAAUAAGCCUCGGCUAACUCCGUGCCAGCAGCCGCGGUCAUACGGAGGAGGCAAGCGUUAUCCGGAUUUACUGGGCGUAAAGAGUUGCGUAGGCGGUUUUGUAAGCAAAUAGUGAAAUCAUGUGGCUCAACCAUAUUGACUAUUAUUUGAACUGCAGAACUUGAGAGCGAGAGGGGUGAUUGGAAUUCCCGGUGUAGGAGUGAAAUCCGUAGAUAUCGGGAGGAACACCAAUGGCGUAGGCAGAUCACUGGCUCGUUUCUGACGCUAAGGCACGAAAGCGUGGGUAGCAAACGGGAUUAGAUACCCCGGUAGUCCACGCCGUAAACUAUGGAUGCUAGCUGUUUGGAGUAUCGACCCCUCUGAGUAGCGAAGCUAACGCGUUAAGCAUCCCGCCUGGGGAGUACGAUCGCAAGAUUAAAACUCAAAUGAAUUGACGG